CAUGAUCCAUGGUCAUGUUAUUGUUGGACAACAUUUUGGAUAUAUUUAAUGUGUCAUGCUCAGUAAAAGUUUUUGAAAGACCUUUUCUGUCCUCAGCAUGGAAAAGUUUUUUCACUUCCUUUUUUUCCAUCAAGCUUAUUUUCCUGGCACUUAUCAUCUCUUAUUAUGUCUUAUCUUUCUUCUGGAUAAGAUUGUUUUCCCAAUUCAUAUACAGAAGCCCAGUUAACUUCUGAGUGAUCUCUCCAUGCCAUGGUACCCAGAGGUUCAGAGGUAGUGCUGUUUGCUCGGGUAAUGUUAGUGGGACACAGUACUAUUUUAAAACCUUCUUCUGGAAAAAAAAAGACUUUGUAUACCUCUGAAGAAUGGAAUUAAAUUACAUUCUUCUAUUAUAUAUGUGAAUCUGAUUAUGGGAAUGACGGAAUUAAUUUAUCUUAUUAUAAAGAACAUAGCAUCUUCUAAAAUACAUCAGAUUGUUUUUAGUUUUGUUUAUUUUAGCUGAACCAUAGAACCAUUUCUCAGUAUAUAUUACAACUGUAUAUUGUUUUCUGAGGGAGAAUGAAUGCAGCUCUAGAAAGCAAUUAUGGAACUAAUAUAUUUCCCUGAAAUGCAUGUUGUGAUGCAGGAUUUUGCUCAUGUUUCUAAAAAUUACUUAAGCUUCUGCUUAAAUUAUCCUGGUAUCACAAGUACCACUUAAAUUAAUUUAUCCUGAAGAUACUAUCUUGGUAAGGAUAAGUUUUCCAUUAUUGGCAAAAAUAACUUGCCUUCCAUAAUAACUCUUUUCCCCAGAUCCAGCAUGUUUUUUUUCAGCAAGGAGUAUAAUGCCUUGCUAUUCUGUGCACUGAGGCACCUACACUGUAUGUCACAAAGAAGAAAAAGGACAUGUAUUUUGGCACUAAAAAAACCCAAACAACAAAGCAAACAGUCAUCAUAAAAAAGUAACCUCUUCAAACAAACCCUCUGUCACCCGGCUUCCUGGUGAAUUUUGUGUAGGAGUUCAUUUUCCUUUUUCUCUGUGUACCGUGUGUUACCACAGUCUCAACUUCAAGAAUGAUCAGAGACCUAUAAAACAUGAUCUAAGAGGAAAGGCUGAAAGAAUUGGGGUUGUUUAGUUUAAAGAAAAUGAAAGUGUUGGGAAAAACAGUAAUGAUCUUCCAAAAUGUAAAAUGUUUCUCUGCAGAGAGAAGGAAAAAGUUUUUCUUUAUGUUCAGUGGGUCUAGGGCAAGAGGUGAUGAAAUUGGAGUAGGAGAUUUAAGGUAGACAUUAGGAAAUUAUUUCAACCUGCAAAAGUAGUUUGGCACUGAAAAUGAUUAUCUGGGAAUCUCGUUUACUGAAGGCUUUGAAAGGUCGAUUAGGUCACAUGUCUCAGGAAUGGUUUUAGUUGCAGUAGAUUAUAUGGAGAUAACCCAUAAAGUUCCUGGCUGGUUUACAGUGUUUUGUUUCUCUCAGGUGAUUUACAACAGAUGCUUUAUUGCUGUGUUGUUUUGAUUCUCACUCUUUCCUAUGCCCUUAGAAAAUGCCAGUAAGAAAAAAUUAGGUAAAAAAUCAGGAAAGUGGAAUGGAUGGUGACAUUUCCAAUAGCAGAAUAUUAAGAAAUCACAGGCUCUGCAGGAUAACUGUUGUGUUUGAGCCAGCGUGUGACUUGCUGACAUGUCCUCCUGACAAGCUUUGGGACUGGAAUACUGGGCUGGCACUCAACAAGUGUUGAUAGUCAAUACACAGAAGUCUGUGGUUUAACUAAUCUUUUAAAUUUUAAUUUAUUUUUAAAUUUUAUUUGAAGUGUUGGUCUUUCUUCACUUUUUGCUACGUGUAAGUACUUCCUGAACCUGCAAGGAGCGAGCUCUAGCCAGAGUUGUUAGUCAUCAGGUACUGUCACUGCAGCUUCAGGGAUAUUCUGCCCAAGGUGUGGGAAAAGAUAGACAUUUGAAGUAGCAGGUCUAAAAGCCAGAAUUACCUCAACUGCUGAGGGGUAUGAAGUUGUACAUGAUCUUGUUUCAUCCGAAUUUGACAUUUAUCUUGGAGACUUUUUAUUCCUCACAAGGCCUUCACGUUGCUGCAACAGUAAGGUAGUACCCAAAAUUCUUGUAUCUCUUUGAAACAGAAUUGGAGAAUUUAUCCUUUGUCCAAGUUGAAUAUAUAUUCUGCUGCACAACUUAAAACACCUCUUGUUCACCUCUUCUAAGUCUUCCUGUUUCUCUGAUUUUCACCAUUUUUCCUGUAGCCUAAAAUCUUUGUUUUGUACCUGUAGGUAGCUGCUAUAGGUCUUCUGCAAUAACAGAGUGAUCAAGUGAUGCAUGGAAGGAUUCAUGAGAACCUAUGGAGUGUGACCCUCUCGCAGACAACUCUGUCCAGUCCAAGAUCAUCUACAUCUUCAUCAUUCCUUGACAGAAAACCGUUGAAACUGUUUGGAUACUGAAUGACGGCUACAGCCCAGUCCCUUCCUCUGGAGCUGUGGUGGUGCCACAUUGCUGUAAUCCCAUUGCAUUGGUCACCAGCAUAGGAUCCACUUCCCCAGGGAUGGAUCCUGGACCUUGAGCCUUAACAGGUCAGUGAGGUGAGGAGAAGGAAAGGCCCCUGCCAUCAUCAAAGAGCCUUGUCCAAAAACUUCAGUAAUUUACAGUUCCUUAUGGUAAGACACUUUUUCUGGUAUUAACGUCAUGAGCAUUUAAAAAUGUUAUCAGACAAUAAUUACUAUCACAACUUUUAAUUCUGUGUUUCUGUUUCAAAUUUUCCUCAGUUCAAUCAGAACCAAAAGUUAAUGCCCGUUGGCUAAUUUCCAGUACAUGCCUCCACAGAACAACUGCUGCCUUUAACUGGUGGAGAGAUCAAGGCUUGAACUGACAAAAGACAUCUGUAUUUUGGAAAACAAAUUAAUGUUUAUGUUUUAAUUUAUAAGUUCCUGGCUCUUUUAUGGUUCCUGUUUUUCAAGUAAUGUCUCUUUGGAUCCCUAGCUGAUGGAGAGUCAAAAUGGAAAAGGCCCAUGAGAGAAUUAUCACAAUAGAACAUCUGGUCUGCAUUGGAAAAAGCUGAGAAAGAUAUUCAACAUCUCUGAGACCAAGAGGCAGCUAUGAGGCAGUUUGAAAGUCAGUCUAUGAAAAAUCGUGCAGGUUGUGGCCACCUGGGCCAAUCUAGUGUUGUUUUGGGAAGAGCUACUCUGCUUACUUGCAUCUGAAUUUUAAUGUCACUUCAGCACGGAUAUGUGAGAACUGGGAGUGGUAUGAAAGGUGUUUGCUUUUCAUAAUGUUAAUCUGAGUCCCAGCAUUGUCCUAAUUAUAUUGUGGGUUUUUGCCAGUCUCCUAAGUUUUCUUUUGAGCAUGUAGGCUGGAGUCAAAAGGCUUUCCCAGGGUUUUGGCAUAGCUUUAUAGGAAAAUGGAUGGAAAUGACUUUGUAUAUUUUUGGAAGAAUAUUUUGCAUCCUGCUUUAAACUGUUCCAGAAGGUAAAAGGACGUUAGCUAGACUGUGUAUUGGCUCGUGUACUGGUAUGUCACUAAUGGCGAGGAGUUUUGCUUCACCUAAUUGUUCCUGUUUUCUGCAGCCACAGACUAUGAGGAAUGCAAAGAAAUAAUGGGCCAACCAGGGCAAUAAAGGUACUGCUGGAUUCAGAGGGAACAAACUCCUUCCACCACAUGAAACUUUCGUCUUUAAGUCAUCAUAGCUCAUGCAGAACAGAAACAAUUUGACAUGUAUAACAAGAAACACUGCAAUUGUUUGCCAAACAAAGACUUAUACUGCAGAUGGAAGAACUGAUGAAAAUUGUUUAUAGAUGGGGAGCUAAAUGUAGAUUUUUCAAGAACAAGGUUGCUCUCUUCCUUGCCAAGACAAACAACAAAUCUAAUAGAAGUCUCAUUUCUUUAGGCUGCCUGAGGACCCACUGGAAAAUCUAUGGACUUUUCUCCACAGAAAAUUUGUGUAUCGUCAAUACAUAAGUGGAUUGUCCACAGUUACACUGUGGCAGCUGCAGAGGAAGUGGAAGGUUCUCAGGAAUACAUUAGGGAGAAACUGGAUUUUUGGCUUCUGAUGUAGUGUGGAGCACCUUUGGAAACUGUGGAAGUUUAUGAGCUGGAUGUUACUGCUACAAAAGGUUAUCUGUGAGUUAAACAUAAUAGUAAUUAAUCUGGUAUCUUUAGAUCGUAACACUAACAACAUGAUGAAAUUGAGAAUUCCUAUUCUUUAGAAUUGCAGUUUUCCAGGAUGCCUUCAUUCCUACAAAGAUGCCCUGAUCUGCACUUAGUUUUCAGUGUUACCUUUAGCAAUCUGUGCACAGAUGUUUUUACAAGGCACUAUGUAGUCAUCCCAAACAACUGGUUUUAAUGGGCCAGUUUUUUAAGAAAAGCAUGUAAUGAGAACAUAAAUACAAUCCUUGAUACUGACAUAAAGCAUGUAUUAGCAGAGUAAUAUAGUUUGUAUUGCCCUGAUAGAUAGCAGACCCUGGAAAUAUAAAACUUGUCAUGUCCUUAAAAUUCUGUUACAUCUGUAAACAUAUAUGUCUUGAAAAAGAGGGCCCACAGCAUCCAGGACUGCUUUAGGAAAAGUAUUGCCAGGAGAUCAAAGGAGGUGAUUAUUCUCCUUUACUCAGCACUGGUGAGACUUCAGUGGAAGUGCUGUGCCCAGCUCUGGGCUCCUCACAAGAAGAAGGACAUGGACAUACUGGAGUGAGAGCAGGAAAGGGCCAUGAAGAUGAUUAAGAGGAGCACCUGUCAUGUGGCUGCCUUAAGGGGUUUUGAAGUUGAUGUUCUUGAAAAUACUCAAAACCCAACUGGGCGCGCUCCUGAGCAGCCUGCUCUGGGUGAUUCUGCUUUGUGUUGGACUGGUUUGGACUGGAUGAUCUCCAGAGGUGCUUCCAGACUGUGAAUAUUUGAAGCAGUUUGGUUAUGUCUUUUCAGCAUUUUAGCUGGAACUCAACUAUGUAGGAAUCCUAAAGAGAGCAAAGGCUGUGACCCUAGAAAUCCAUCCAGAUGGCUGAGGCCCAGAAAAGGCAUAAUGAGAGCUGCUAAAUAUUUUGAAUGUCUCAUCAGAGUGAUAUUCCACUUAAAAAUACAAAUAUAGACAUGACUUGGGUCUUAAUGACACUGAAUACCCAUAAUGUUCUCUCACUUCAGCUGGACUGCAGAUGGUAACAACCUCUCUCUAUCUGAGCACACAUAUUUUAGUUUAAUCUUGCUCUGUAAAAUCUUAUCACAUACUUUACUCUAGAAAUUAAUAUUUGGAGCUUUAUGGUGCAGAAUUUAUUUGUUGAUUUGCUCCACAAUUUCUUUCCUUACUAGUACUGAUAUUAAUAAAUUAAAAUGUAUUUUGACAUAUUCAGUAAUAAGCUCAUACUAUGUCUCAAGGAGUUGAGAAUAUCAUAAUUUGAGCAAGGUAAAAUCAAAAUAUGUAUUGCAUUGCAUAUUCUAUGGCACUUAGUUUGUAACUAUUCUUACAGCACCUUCAGAA